CCAAUGCAACCAGCCCGUUCGCUAGGAUUUGCCCCCAUGCUGAACCAGUGCUCAGUGGUUUCUCCAGACGGCUUCUGAUGAGCUUCUUUCUUCUUAAGUGGUUCAAAGAUGAAGUACGUUCUGCGAAAAUUAAUAUGCUGUAUUCUGAUUAAAAAUAGACGUUUAAAAUUGAGUUUGCACUUUAAAAUAAAAUUAGUUUAGUUUGAUGAAAUAUUAAGUUGCAAGCUAAUGAAAAUAAGAAAUUAUAUCCAUAACGGAGAGUUUCGAAAUAAUUCUUGAUAUUUUCUGGAUUUUCAAAAAGUUUCAAUUUAGAGAACAGGCUAAUUAAUAGUAAAGCUAAUAAAAAUUAAAUAUAAAAUAAAAUAAGCCAAAGGUCUGCACUGUUAAUUAUAUUGUAAAAUAUUUGGCAUCUAUUGCGCAACUCGUCUUUCCAGUGGCGGGUUAAGAUCGCUAAAUAUAGCUAGUUUAGAACGCUAAAGUUUGACCUAGUUUUGAUCCCAGGUGAAUGGGCUGGCCGUUUUCGGGAAUUUUCUAAUGUGUAACGUGAAUACAAUCCAGUUUGCCUUAGAAAGCACACCAGGAAGGCAUUUUCCUCUUAAUCAGCUAGCUGUAGUAAACUUUGACAUAUUCAAAUAAGCUAAUGAUUUACGCGCAACACAAUAGUGAGAACUUCUGGAAUUUUAUAUGAAACUGAAUGUGGCUUCAGAAAUAAUAGAUUUGAAACGAAUUGGUUCUAAUACACUUGCUCCCCAAAAAGAAUGUAAGAAUGUAUGUAAAGUUAAUAUUACAUCGGAUGACUUUGAAUAAUAUAGAAGAAAAUAUUUUGGAAUUUUUUCUGGAAAAAUAUCUUGGAUUCUUUGACAGUCAAUUUAAAAACUGGUUUAUUACUUUUCAGAGCAAUUGGACAUUAAAAGAAUGUUCACACGUGGGAUCUGCGAGGCACAAGUGGCGUAAUUCGAACUUCUUUGCUAAACAACCAGACCUUGUUGCGUCAUGUAAACUGAUACUACAAAAAUAAUAAAAUGGAGUCCCAGGUGGUUUCCAAGAAACAUACGGAAGCAUUAUACGUACAGGGUUUCCCUUCUUCAAAAUUUCGGAGACAUUUCAAGUCUGAAAUCAUGCUAAGCAACAAGAAACGUUAUUCUACAUCUAUGCAACUACAUAAAAAAGGUAAUGAGUCACAGUUCUCUGAGACAAUAGUUAUUGAAACUUCUUGGAUCCAUAAUUACGUUUCAAGUUUGGAAUAUGAUAACGACUAUCAAGAACUAAAAUUCGUGAGUGGAAUUGAGUUGGAAAUUCUCCCCAAAAGUCAGCCUUUAGAUUAUCCAUCUAGGACUUUGAGUGCGGGGAAAGUAUGGCGAGAUGCAUUUAAAAGACUGUAACUGUUUAAUAUAUCAUUUCACUUGUUCGAGUUUUCCGAUGUUUGUAGAAUAACUGCAAAAUAAAUUAUGUAAACGUAUUGCCAAUAAAGAUGUUAUUUUGAACCCCUUUU